rnacentral:lncRNA from 1 species
GCUUAUUGCCUUUCCGUAUCAUUUUUUGUUGGACGAGGGUAAGGUUAAUCUUUAACUGGUAAAUUUUCCAUCUUUUCUUUUUCCUCUUUCUCUUUAUAUUUUUUAUUUUUUCCUUCUCCUAUUUUUAUUUAUAUUCUUUUUCUUCUUCCUUCUUCUCUUUUUCUUUUUCUCUUUUUCUUUUUUCCCUUCUUUUUCAUUUUCC